rnacentral:rRNA from 1 species
AGUGAACGCUGGCGGUAGGCCUAACACAUGCAAGUCGAACGGCAGCACAGUAAGAGCUUGCUCUUACGGGUGGCGAGUGGCGGACGGGUGAGGAAUACAUCGGAAUCUACUUUUUCGUGGGUGAUAACGUAGGGAAACUUACGCUAAUACCGCAUACUACCUACGGGUGAAAGCAGGGGAUCUUCGGACCUUUCGCGAUUGAAUGAGCCGAUGUCGGAUUAGCCAGUUGGCGGGGUAAAGGCCCACCAAGGCGACGAUCCGUAGCUGGUCUGAGAGGAUGAUCAGCCACACUGGAACUGAGACACGGUCCAGACUCCUACGGGAGGCAGCAGUGGGGAAUAUUGGACAAUGGGCGAAAGCCUGAUCCAGCCAUACCGCGUGAGUGAAGAAGGCCUUCGGGUUGUAAAGCCCUUUUGUUGGGAAAGAAAAGCAGCAGGUUAAUACCCCGCUGUUCUGACGGUACCCAAAGAAUAAGCACCGGCUAACUUCGUG